UAGCAGGUUCUCUAGCCUUUUGAAAUGCCACCCAGAAAUGAUUAAUUGGUGGAGGUCAUGGCUGAAGGUGACAAAUGCCUUGUGAUGGACAAAAGAAAGCAUGUGAACUGACCUAGUUUCAGUUCUGGCAGUGGGAGAUAAUUCUGCAUGGUCCUUGGUCAUUAGACCUAACUCUAGAAAAUGAAGUUACCUAUUCUGCCACCAUCACUAAUGAGUGUGGCUGUUGUCCAGCAUUCAGAAAAGAGAAUUAGAAGGCAAGUCAGCUUUAGAACUCAGCUUCUCAUUGUGUAGAGGGGACAUGAGGUCUCAUCCCAUAAGGAUGAGACUUAGAUUAUGAGCUCUUUAAAACUUCAGGAGUCAGGUGAAAUGUGAUAAGACGUUGAUGUUUUUCAUAAUUCAUUAAAUGACAGAAGCUUUAGUUUAUGCUCACGUACCCUAAAGUAUCAUCAAGAAGAUAUGCAACAAAUCAUGAAAUCAGCCCAUUGAAUCAGUUUGAGAUUGCAAUAAAAUAGUCUUGCUUGAAUUCUUGUGAAAGCACUGUCCUUGGUGGUGUGUCAGCUUUGUUAGCAGGAAAUGCAGAUGCUGAUGCCUAUCCUCACUGGUAAAUACUUGGAAGAUGUGGACCUCUUAGGCGAUAAUCACAGCACAAAUAGUUGUGCAUGGAUCAAGUUUUAUGUACAAGUAUUUGGUGGAGUACAGAAACUACGAAUUCACUGUACAAAGUCUUUCUAUAACCAAGAUGUGCAUGUGAUUUUCUUCAAGUGCAAUCGGCACAGAGCCCUUAAGUGUAGGUCUGUUUUAGAAGUUCUUGUAGGAGUGUGUGUGUGUACACACAUGUACCUAAACUGAAUCACGAGUGUACGUGCAUACAGAACAAAGGCACGAUUACAUCUGAUCAGAGUAAAUGAAGAGAAAGUAAUAAAAGCAUAUCCCAGAAGGUGAAAUUAUUCUACUCUUUCACUCUGCACCAGGAAGUGGCUGCGAAUGAGAUUCAAUCCUUUUGACGUUACCAGUUUUACAGCUGCAAAAGCCUUUGGUCUUGACGGCUGUUUAAUUCAAACAUAUUUUUGAAGGUACUUGAGGACACCUUGAAACAAUUAUUAAAUAAAAUAUUUCACCUGUGCUUAAUGUAAUUGUUAGAUCUAUUAUCUUUCCUAAGUAGUUUAAGUCAAAUUCAGGCUAUUUUGAUUCAAUUUGAGAUGGGAUGAAAUAAGACCUCUUAAAUAGUGAGAAUGUUUUUUCUCUGUUUCUUGUGAAUUAGUGAUUAUUGCCAUGUCCCUGGACCUGCCUUUCCUUUGCAGAUCCUGUAGGUUCUACAGGCUUCUACCAGUUCCACACAUAACAUUGUGAAAGGUUCCUCCAAGACCAGCCACAGCUCCCAUGUCUUCACUUCCUUAUGGGAAAGGACAAGGGCAUACCUUGCUUUUUGUGGCCUUUUCUGUCGGAUGAGGUUCUUGAGCUGAUAAUGCAGGAAACUGUCAGAUGUUGGGAAACAAGGUCGCCCAGCAGUUUCAAGUGGACAUUUGUACACUUCUGCAAGAGAAAAUACAUCUCUGAGCAGACAUACUUCAGGGGAGGUUCUCAGAUCACAACUAGUGGAGCAGAUGCGCUGAGAAGAGGCACUUUCAGUGGUGUGUGCGGCAGAUUCAGCAGAUCCAGCCUCCUAUUUCCUGUUCUUCCAGUAUCAUCUGUUACUCAUGACGGCAUUUUGUAUAUUGUCCUUACACAACUGGCAGAGAGGUCAAAGUAAAGUGAAAUGAAUUGCAUGAAUGGUGCAAACUGUAAUGCAAAUUCUGAAAAAUAAUUAUUUUUGGAUGAUGUUUUGACAUGUUUUUUGAAGGUUACAGUUGUACUAGCUUCUACUCUGUUCAUACCACAAGGUAACAGAUAUUGUGAAUCUGAGGAGAUGAGAUACAGUGAGAAGUGUACAAAAACUUAUUUUGUAUGGCCAACUAUGAAAAUUAUUGUUAAUAAAUUAAAAAAAAAAAAGGCUGAUAUCACAGCUGAGCCAUCUCUCUAUAAACCAAACAGAAAAUCAAACUUUGACAAAAAGCCUGUGAGAAAUUCUUUAAAUCCCUUCCCCUUUUAUCUCUGCUUCUUUGCCUGGAAACUGAUUCAUGCCUAUUGGAGUUGAAAUUCUGCUGUUCUGUCAGCUAGUCAGCAUCUGAAGGGAGAGGUGAGAUUUCAGAACUUUUUUGUUUUGUUUUGUUAUGUGUUAAUAAAAAAGACCAUCAUUUUUUAUUUAUUUAGAAUUUUGCAGUGUGUCAUGCACAUCCUUCUUUGCAAUAUGUCUAAGUUUCUUGGGGGAUUGGAGGUGAGUGUUUUUCUGUGAUGAUUAAAUAUCCCAAGUAUGGGCAGAUCCUCAGCUAACAAAUCAAUGUGCAGGUAGUUCCCAAGAGGUCAGAACAAAUGGUCCAAUGCUAAUCUUACACUAGCUAAAACAUGCAAGUCUUAGUUCUGGUAACGUUUGGAGAUAGUAGCUAUUAAAAUUGACCUGCAAUCCCCACUUGACAAAAACGGUGCCAGAUUCUCUCCAAGACCCUGUCUAUUUAAGGAUUUCCACCCAAAUAAUUAGGAUCAGAUCACAUUUUUGAUAGCUGUGUGAAGAGCUGUGCAGGAACUUGAGGCUGGAAUUUGUAGGAGCCAGAAGGUUAUCAAAAAAGGUGUGUGUGAUUUCAAAGCUUUGCCUGCCUUAGUUUUCAACUAAGUAUUGGGACUACAGGGAGGAAGAGGAGGGUUUGAUUAUUUUUUUUAAGAUUUUGAAAGAUUAUGCCUUUGUUAUUUGUUGACUGGUGUAGCUUAUCAAAGCUCUUAGUUAUUUGCAGGAUGUUCCACAAAUCAAAGUCUGUUUUUGCUUUUGAUUUAAAAAAAAAAAAAAAAAAAGGUUAAGAAAAGACCCCUGGUUGCUCCCUGAAUGUCAUCAGGUGGCUUGAGCUUAUCUCAGUCAUAUGGGGAUGUCUGCAGCGGGUCCUGCAGUGCCAGGGAGGGUCAUUUUAGGAAACUAUAUGGUUUAUGGGAUGACGUUUCCAUCACCAGGAAAAGAUGCUGUACUGUCAUGGUAAAGUAUGUGGGGGGAGGGAAGCCGAGUAGUUGUUGUGCUGGAAAACUGCAACCUAGAAAUUACUGUUGUGACUCAUUAGAUGAUAUCAUUUGGAAACUGAGUAAUUACAUCCUAUCCCCCCCUUGUAUUUGACUUGGGGUGAUGUACUGGAGCACUGGUGUGUCUGACAGCUAGGUGACCUUUCAGUGAAGCGUCUGGCUGCAUCAAGGAUGGUUCCAUGGUGUAGAAGAGCAUGAAUUCGUUGUGUACCAGAAUUAUGCUGGAGGUCCCGAUACCUUUGUUUUGGUUCCCCUGUGUGUUGCUAAAUGAGCUCUUGAAACAAAGCCAGAAGAGGAAAAGCGGAGAGAAGUGUAUUUUUUGUUGAUUAAUACACAUGCCCUGCGUUGUGUUGUGUAACAGGAAGGACUGAGGACAGGUUUGUUUUUAUUGCAGCUAUCUGCACAUCUUUGUGCUUGAUACAGCCACAGACCUUCAGACCUGUGCCCACAAGAGAGUGGUGUUGAGCCAUCCAUUUGCAUACCAGGUACAAGGAUUGAAUUUACAGGGUUUUUUAUACGUAAAGUACAAUUUGACCAGUUCGGAUUCCCAAAUAAAAUGUGACUUUUCAAUCAAAUACGCUUUAUGCUGAUUUGCAGUAAUAUACAUAUUUUGAAAUUCAGCUGUUUUAGAAUAUAAAGGAACUGUAAAUGCACCAGCUGUUGUUUCUGUCAUAUUAUUUCUACUGUAUGUGUCCACGUGGUUUUUUACUUAUUACUGGAAGAAAAUAAACCAUUUUGAACCUGCUUACAGCCAGGGCUGGUCAUUCAGUGUGGAUGUGCCCCUCCAAGGUUUCCUAGGUUGUUUGGGGUUGUAGUCUGCCUGGUGGUGCUGACAGGGCUCUGAGUGUAAGUCCUCUUGGCUGUGACUUGGGGUUACAGCUAGUCAGGCAGGAAGGGAGGGCUCUAAUUUCUGUGCUGGAUGAUGCACGUUAAGGCUCUGAGCUGGUGAAGUGGCUCUCAUUCAGAAUAUUUGUAUGUAAGCACUUGAGACUUUGGAAAGAUCACAACCUGUAGCAGCUCAUGCUGAAAAAAUUGGCCUUCCCUAUUGGAAGUAAGUGCUGACAGUGGUUAUCGUUGAUGUGUUUGAAUAUGUACGUUAUUAGCACGUGUUCAUUUUUGUUCUCUGUACUGGCUCACAUUACUACUUGACUUGCUCUUUCCAUUUCACCUCAAACUAAUGAAAACUGAAAUGUCUCCUGAAAGCUCAUUGUUUACUGAAAUUUGUAUACUCCAAAAAAAA